rnacentral:rRNA from 1 species
UACGAAGGGGGCUAGCGUUGUUCGGAAUUACUGGGCGUAAAGGGCGCGUAGGCGGCCUGUUAAGUCGAACGUGAAAUCCCCGGGCUCAACCCGGGAACUGCGUCCGAUACUGGCAGGCUUGAAUUCGGGAGAGGGAUGUGGAAUUCCAGGUGUAGCGGUGAAAUGCGUAGAUAUCUGGAGGAACACCCGUGGCGAAGGCGGCUCUCUGGAACGCAACUGACGCUGAGACGCGAAAGCGUGGGGAGCAAACAGG